ACAUUGCCUGAAUACUAAGCGGUGGAUUUGACGGAUUUGACACAAAAGAUUAACUAGAAAAUUACAUUCCUGAAAAUUCCUCAAUUACUCUUUUCCUUCUUCAUCUUCAGAGCUGACAUGUUAGCCUAGUCUGCGCAUUCAGCGUGCAGCCUCGAGGCCUGCGCCGCUUCCGUCGUAUUUUGAAGUGGAUGGUUUAUUUGCCUCCAAGACAUGCUUGACCCUGUCGUCAUCGGAGACAAUCGCUGAAUAAAUGCCAGACCAGCUUUCUCCCUCUCGGGCCAUCCCGUCCAUCAAAUUCAUCAACUUCGUUUUGGGGUUGUUUUGCUCCUCCCGAGCUGCGCUGCACUGUCCCUUGCUUUACGGGUAAUUCCAUCUGCAAGCCGUUCCUUUUCAUAACGCAUACUGCCCAGUCGGUACUCCAAGUUUUAGAGGUAUUGUUGCAUGUCGCCAAUGGUCUUCUCCGUGGCAGCGUUCCGCUGUUUCCAAUAUUCAAGCUCUUCUGUCAGUGAACGAAUCUUAGCAUCACGUAACCGGAGCUCUGCUCUGCACGUCCUUUUCCCUUGACUUCCCCUCGUUCUCUUCUUUCGUCAAUUCCACAUGUCGUACAGCAACGUUCCUUUUCAUAUCUGAAUCGGUUACCGGAAAGCUCCUCGAGGUGUUUCCUCAGGUUUUCCUGCAGCUCUGCUACCUCACUACAAUGCAAUUGUUCUAGACGCUCAAUCGUUGCGGCAUGACCCUCCAUUCAAUGGAUAGUACAGGUGAGGUGGGCUCAUGGCAGGUGCGGGAUUAGACAAUCUGUAGGAAGCACAAUGCGCGGGUAGGCCUUUAAUGGCAAUGGCAGAUAGUCAAACAAACACAUUUACCAAAAAUUCGACGUGGUCCAUCAAUAGUUACGAGGGUCAUACAUUAAUAGAGCACAGGAUCACCCGUAGAUUUUUUUCCAGCCAAACAUUUUUGUCAUUCUUUGAACCAGUUAGAAUAUGCUAUUUCGUAUGGGUAAG
rnacentral:sRNA from 2 species